rnacentral:rRNA from 1 species
AGCAGCCGCGGUAAUUCCAGCUCCAAUAGCGUAUAUUAAAGUUGUUGCAGUUAAAAAGCUCGUAGUUGAAUUUCGGGGUUAGUAGGUUGGUCAUGCCUCUGGUAUGUACUGGUCUCACUGAUUCCUCCUUCCUGAUGAACCUUAAUGCCAUUUAUUUGGUGUUUUGGGGAAUUUGGACUGUUACUUUGAAAAAAUUAGAGUGUUUAAAGCAAGCUAACGCUUGAAUACAUUAGCAUGGAAUAAUGAAAUAGGACGUUCGAUCCUAUUUUGUUGGUUUCUAGGAUUGACGUAAUGAUUAAUAGGGAUAGUUGGGGGCAUUAGUAUUCAAUUGUCAGAGGUGAAAUUCUUGGAUUUAUUGAAGACUAACUACUGCGAAAGCAUUUGCCAAGGAUGUUUUCAUUAAUCAAGAACGAAAGUUAGGGGAUCGAAGACGAUCAGAUACCGUCGUAGUCUUAACCAUAAACUAUGCCGACUAGGGAUCGGAUGAUGUUAAUUUUUAAUGUACUCAUUC